rnacentral:rRNA from 1 species
GAUGAACGCUGACAGAAUGCUUAACACAUGCAAGUCGACUUGAAGCAACUUCGGUUGUGGAAAGUGGCGGACGGGUGAGUAACGCGUAAAGAACUUGCCCUUCAGUCUGGGACAACCAUUGGAAACGAUGGCUAAUACCGGAUAUUAUGGAACUCUCGCAUGGGAGGAUCAUGAAAGCUAUAUGCGCUGAAGGAGAGCUUUGCGUUCCAUUAGCUAGUUGGUGAGGUAACGGCUCACCAAGGCGACGAUGGAUAGCCGGCCUGAGAGGGUGAUCGGCCACAAGGGGACUGAGACACGGCCCUUACUCCUACGGGAGGCAGCAGUGGGGAAUAUUGGACAAUGGACCAAAAGUCUGAUCCAGCAAUUCUGUGUGCACGAUGAAGGUUUUCGGAUCGUAAAGUGCUUUCAGUUGGGAAGAAGAAAGUGACGGUACCAACAGAAGAAGCGACGGCUAAAUACGUGCCAGCAGCCGCGGUAAUACGUAUGUCGCAAGCGUUAUCCGGAUUUAUUGGGCGUAAAGCGCGUCUAGGCGGGUUCAUAAGUCUGAUGUUAAAAUGCGGGGCUCAACUCCGUAUUGCGUUGGAAACUGUGAACCUAGAGUAUCAGAGAGGUGGGCGGAACUACAAGUGUAGAGGUGAAAUUCGUAGAUAUUUGUAGGAAUGCCGAUGGAGAAGUCAGCUCACUGGAUGAAUACUGACGCUAAAGCGCGAAAGCGUGGGUAGCAAAACAGG